ACCAGGAUGGCCGAGUGGUUGAAGCGUUGGAUUUAAGAUCCAAUGGAUGUAUAUCCGCGUGGGUUUGAACCCCACUCCUGGUU
rnacentral:tRNA from 2 species